rnacentral:rRNA from 1 species
AACGAACGCUGGCGGCAGGCUUAACACAUGCAAGUCGAACGCACCCGCAAGGGUGAGUGGCAGACGGGUGAGUAACGCGUGGGAACAUACCUUCCGGUUCGGAAUAACCCUGGGAAACUAGGGCUAAUACCGGAUACGCCCUUUGGGGGAAAGGUUGACUGCCGGAAGAGUGGCCCGCGUCCGAUUAGCUAGUUGGUGAGGUAAGAGCUUACCAAGGCGACGAUCGGUAGCUGGUCUGAGAGGAUGGCCAGCCACAUUGGGACUGAGACACGGCCCAAACUCCUACGGGAGGCAGCAGUGGGGAAUAUUGGACAAUGGGCGCAAGCCUGAUCCAGCCAUGCCGCGUGAGUGAUGACGGCCUUAGGGUUGUAAAGCUCUUUCGCACGCGACGAUAAUGACGGU